AGACUGCAAAAAAGAUAAAAGAAUAUAAAAGACACAUACCAAAAAAAGCAAGGAAAAGGAAACAGUACUGGAAAUUCUGCUUCCAGUAAAGGAAAUAAAUGGCCAGUGGCUAAUAUGUUAAAAUUUUUAAACAAAAUGGAUCACAAGUGAGUAAGUACAUCCAACGUUGAGGUAGAUGAAAUGCAAAGCCCACAAUAUGAUGGUGAACCGAGUAACAGAGAGAUGUGCCAGACAUCGCCAACUUUGUCAGAAAAAGAAAUUUUUUUCCGAAGACUAGGAAGACAUCGCGUCGUUCAGACCACCCAAGGAAAAGGUCAUGACAAAAUGAAAAAAAUCAUGGAGUUGAUGAAUUCUUGGCGGGCCGAGAGAAAAACGUUAAUGAAAAGACUGGCUGAAGAAAA